UACAGAGGGCUCAAGCGUUGUUCGGAUUCAUUGGGCGUAAAGGGUGCGUAGGCGGCGCGGUAAGUCGGAUGUGAAAUCUCGGAGCUUAACUUCGAAACUGCAUUCGAUACUGCCGUGCUUGAGGACUGGAGAGGAGACUGGAAUUUACGGUGUAGCGGUGAAAUGCGUAGAGAUCGGGAAGAAGGCCGGUGGCGAAGGCGGCUCUCUGGAACGUUCCUGACACUGAGGCACGAAAGCGUGGGGAGCAAACAGG
rnacentral:rRNA from 1 species